rnacentral:lncRNA from 1 species
AUGACAGAGGGGGAUUCUCAGAGGGACAUUUUAUUUAUUUAUUUAAAAAAAAACAUUUUGUUUAUUUAUGAGAGACACACACACAGAGAGAGAGAGAGAGAGAGAGAGAGAGAGAGGCAGAGACACAGGCAGAGGGAGAAGCAGGCUCCAUGCAGGAAGCCUGAUGUGGGACUCAAUCCCAGGACUCCAGGAUCAUGCCCUGGGCUAAAGGCAGGCACUAAACCGCUGAGCCACCCAGGGAUCCCCUCAGAGGGACAUUUUAAUGCAAACAUAUGGAAAGUUUUAACUUUAGUUUCUGAUCGAGUUACAAUGGUAAUUUCAGGUAAUUCCUUCCACUGAGGUCUGGGGGGUGGGGUUUGUUGGUGUAGGGGUGGGCUCCGGAAGGCGGAGUUUUACAAAAUUAUAGUCAGGACUUUAUUAUUAUUUUUUAAAGAUUUUAUUUAUUUAUUCAUGAGAGACACAGAUUGAGAAAGAGGCAGAAGAAGAAGCAGGCUCCAUGCAGGGAGCCAGAUGUGGGACUCGAUCCCCAGCCUCCAGGAUCACGCCCUGGGCUGAAGGCAGGCACUAAACCGCUGAGCCACCCAGGAAUUCCCUAGUCAGGACUUUAGUGAUAGAAACCAGAGAUGAUGAACUAACCCCUCAGCCUCAGAAGACUUUUUGGGGGGAUGGCCAUAUGUGCGGUGGGACAAAUCACCCUGACGCCUCCUCACUUGUGAAAUGGAGACAAGAAUCGUUACCUGGGUUUUUGGUGAGACUCAAUUUUAUGAAUUGUGACGAUCUUUAUUAAUAUAAGGAAUUGAAGUAUUUUAUUUGUAGGGGAAGGAGGGAGAGAGAAAGGAAGGAAGGAAGAGAAAGUGGAUAGGGCAUUUUAUUCUGUAGGAGAGGGAGGGAGGAAGGGGUAAAGAUCUAGGUAGGGUGGAAGAAAUUAAGGGAGGCUUAGUUUCCUGAGCUCGGAGGGGAAGUUGACAGAAACUCACAGUCUGGGGAGAGAAGGAAGCAUCUUUCAGGGAAUUCCGUUAGUUGCCAUGUUCCAGAGACCCCGUCCCUAGAAUGUUCCUUCACGUGGCUGCAGGAAGAGGAGGCGGAGGCGUAGGCUUUCGAGCCUCCCGGCAAACUUCUUUCCAGGCCAUGGGGCGCCCUGGCCUGUGCUCUGGCUUCCGAGGUGCCCAAGGGAUGCCUUUUCCUUGCUUCCCGGGGGCGGCCAGGGUCUAGUGCGCCCAACGCACGGUAAGGAUCUUCUGGAAAACCACUCUCCGUGAGCUCUGCCCAGCUCCUAGAUGUUUCUGCGCCACCGGGUGCCCCCCCAGACCCCCACCCACUGCCAGAACCUCAAGCUGCACCUCGAGGGGCGGCUUCUCAGCGCAGGAUGCCCGCGUCCGCAGCUGCCCGCCGGCGUGUGCAGGUGAACCGGCGCGCGCGCGGGGACGGUGGCGGCGCUUUGCAGGCGAACUCCUUGUUUCCUCCUUUACAUUUC